ACGAACGCUGGCGGCGUGCUUAACACCUGCAAGUCGAACGCUGAAGACCUGGCUUUUGUUGGGUUGGAUGAGUGGCGAACGGGUGAGUAACACGUGAGUAACCUGCCCUCUUCUUUGGGAUAACGCCCGGAAACGGGUGCUAAUACUGGAUAUUCACUGGCCUUCGCAUGGGGGUUGGUGGAAAGGUUUGUUCUGGUGGGGGAUGGGCUCGCGGCCUAUCAGCUUGUUGGUGGGGUGAUGGCCUACCAAGGCUUUGACGGGUAGCCGGCCUGAGAGGGUGACCGGUCACAUUGGGACUGAGAUACGGCCCAGACUCCUACGGGAGGCAGCAGUGGGGAAUAUUGCACAAUGGGCGAAAGCCUGAUGCAGCGACGCCGCGUGAGGGAUGGAGGCCUUCGGGUUGUAAACCUCUUUCGCUCAUGGUCAAGCCGCAACUGUGGGUUGUGGUGAGGGUAGUGGGUAAAGAAGCGCCGGCUAACUACGUG
rnacentral:rRNA from 1 species